rnacentral:rRNA from 1 species
AGUGAACGCUGGCGGUAGGCCUAACACAUGCAAGUCGAACGGCAGCACAGUAAGAGCUUGCUCUUACGGGUGGCGAGUGGCGGACGGGUGAGGAAUACAUCGGAAUCUACUUUUUCGUGGGGGAUAACGUAGGGAAACUUACGCUAAUACCGCAUACGAUCUACGGGUGAAAGCAGGGGAUCUUCGGACCUUGCGUGAUUGAUUGAGCCGAUGUCGGAUUAGCUAGUUGGCGGGGUAAAGGCCCACCAAGGCGACGAUCCGUAGCUGGUCUGAGAGGAUGAUCAGCCACACUGGAACUGAGACACGGUCCAGACUCCUACGGGAGGCAGCAGUGGGGAAUAUUGGGCAAUGGGCGCAAGCCUGAUCCAGCCAUACCGCGUGGGUGAAGAAGGCCUUCGGGUUGUAAAGCCCUUUUGUUGGGAAAGAAAAGCAGCAGGUUAAUACCCCGCUGUUCUGACGGUACCCAAAGAAUAAGCACCGGCUAACUUCGUG